UCUACGGGUGGCAGCAGUGAGGAAUAUUGGUCAAUGGCCGUGAGGCUGAACCAGCCAAGUCGCGUGAAGGAAGAAGGCCCUACGGUUUGUAAACUUCUUUUAUAGGGGAAUAAAGGUAUCCACGUGUGGCUAUUUGCAUGUACUUUAUGAAUAAGCAUCGGCUAACUCCGUGCCAGCAGCCGCGGUAAUACGGAGGAUUCGAGCGUUAUCCGGAUUUAUUGGGUUUAAAGGGUGCGUAGAUUGGUUGUUAAGUCAGUUGUGAAAGUUUGUGGCUCAACCAUAAAAUUGCCAUUGAUACUGGAAGACUUGAGUAUAGUUGAGGUAGGCGGAAUUCGUGGUGUAGCGGUGAAAUGCAUAGAUAUCACGAAGAACUCCGAGUGCGAAGGCAGCUUACUAAGCCAUAACUGACACUGAAGCACGAAAGCGUGGGGAUCAAACAGGAUUAGAUACCCCAGUAGUC
rnacentral:rRNA from 1 species